GACGAACGCUGGCGGCGUGCUUAACACAUGCAAGUCGAACGGAAAGGCCCUGCUUUUGUGGGGUGCUCGAGUGGCGAACGGGUGAGUAACACGUGAGUAACCUGCCCUUGACUUUGGGAUAACUUCAGGAAACUGGGGCUAAUACCGGAUAGGAGCUCCUGCUGCAUGGUGGGGGUUGGAAAGUUUCGGCGGUUGGGGAUGGACUCGCGGCUUAUCAGCUUGUUGGUGGGGUAGUGGCUUACCAAGGCUUUGACGGGUAGCCGGCCUGAGAGGGUGACCGGCCACAUUGGGACUGAGAUACGGCCCAGACUCCUACGGGAGGCAGCAGUGGGGAAUAUUGCACAAUGGGCGGAAGCCUGAUGCAGCAACGCCGCGUGCGGGAUGACGGCCUUCGGGUUGUAAACCGCUUUCGCCUGUGACGAAGCGUGAGUGACGGUAAUGGGUAAAGAAGCACCGGCUAACUACGUGCCAGCAGCCGCGGUGAUACGUAGGGUGCGAGCGUUGUCCGGAUUUAUUGGGCGUAAAGGGCUCGUAGGUGGUUGAUCGCGUCGGAAGUGUAAUCUUGGGGCUUAACCCUGAGCGUGCUUUCGAUACGGGUUGACUUGAGGAAGGUAGGGGAGAAUGGAAUUCCUGGUGGAGCGGUGGAAUGCGCAGAUAUCAGGAGGAACACCAGUGGCGAAGGCGGUUCUCUGGGCCUUUCCUGACGCUGAGGAGCGAAAGCGUGGGGAGCGAACAGGCUUAGAUACCCUGGUAGUCCACGCUGUAAACGGUGGGUACUAGGUGUGGGGUCCAUUCCACGGGUUCCGUGCCGUAGCUAACGCUUUAAGUACCCCGCCUGGGGAGUACGGCCGCAAGGCUAAAACUCAAAGGAAUUGACGGGGCCCCGCACAAGCGGCGGAGCAUGCGGAUUAAUUCGAUGCAACGCGUAGAACCUUACCUGGGUUUGACAUGGAUCGGGAGUGCUCAGAGAUGGGUGUGCCUCUUUUGGGGUCGGUUCACAGGUGGUGCAUGGCUGUCGUCAGCUCGUGUCGUGAGAUGUUGGGUUAAGUCCCGCAACGAGCGCAACCCUUGUUCACUGUUGCCAGCACGUUAUGGUGGGGACUCAGUGGAGACCGCCGGGGUCAACUCGGAGGAAGGUGGGGAUGACGCCAAGUCAUCAUGCCCCUUAUGUCCAGGGCUUCACGCAUGCUACAAUGGCUGGUACAGAGAGUGGCGAGCCUGUGAGGGUGAGCGAAUCUCGGAAAGCCGGUCUCAGUUCGGAUUGGGGUCUGCAACUCGACCUCAUGAAGUCGGAGUCGCUAGUAAUCGCAGAUCAGCAACGCUGCGGUGAAUACGUUCCCGGGGCU
rnacentral:rRNA from 1 species